ACACCAGAAAUACAAAAUAUAAGACAAAAAUUUGUCAUAGAUUUCUAUAUAGUAGGAAAACAACAAUUCUUGUCCUGUAUCGAUAUUUACUCCAAGUUCGCCGCUCUCAUAGAAGUCACAAGUAAGGAUUGGUUAGAAGCUAAAAGAGCUAUAAUAAGGGUAUUUAAUGAAAUGGGAAAUACCAAAUGUACCAAAAGAAAUUAAAUCAUUUCUAGGAUUGUGUGGAUUUUAUCGAAAAUUCAUACCGGACUUUGCACAGAAAGAAAGGUGCCAUAAUUAAUACUAAAGACAAACCUUACAUAGAAGCAUUUGAAAAAAUGAAUAUUUUAAUAACGUCAACCCAAUUUUAAUUUCAUCCCGACUUUAAUAAACCAUUUUCUCUAACAACGCACGCAAGCAACAUGGCUAUAGAAGCAUUAUUGCCACAAAAUCAAAAACCAAUAUGUUAAGCUAGCAGAACUCUCAUCGAACAUGAAAUAAACUACGCGACUAUUGAAAAUGAACUUUUAGCAAUCGUAUGGGCCACCAAAUAUCUUAGAUCAUAUUUAUUCGAUUAAAUAUUGGCCAGGAAAUGAAAAUUGUGAAGCUGACGCAUUAUCCAGGACCAAAAUAGAAGAACAUAUGUUUACAGAUUGAGGAAAAUACACCAGAAGAAACAACCAGUAGUUCAAAUGCAACAGCCCACAGUGCUCAAGAAGAUAGCCAGAACUAUAUUUCCAUGAUUCUGACUUCUUUAUAUUCUAAAAAGCUUAUGUGGAAAUUAUAAAUGCAAGUCACUUGGCGAAAUUAGUAUGAUGUACGGCAAAACUUGAAGACAUACUGACAUAUGCAGACUUUAAAGAAAAAAUAUUGAAACGACAUAAAGAACAUCCAGGAAUCGAAAAAACUACUAAAUGGUUUAGAGAAAAAUAUUAUUUCCCCGACUAUCAAAAUUUAA